rnacentral:rRNA from 1 species
CAGCCGCCGCGGGAAAACGAAGGGUGCAAGCGUUACUCGGAAUUACUGGGCGUGAAGCGUGCGUAGGUGGUGGUUUAAGUCCGUUGUGAAAGCCCUGGGCUCAACCUGGGAAUUGCAGUGGAUACUGGAUCACUAGAGUGUGGUAGAGGAUAGUGGAAUUUCCGGUGUAGCAGUGAAAUGCGUAGAGAUCGGAAGGAACAUCUGUGGCGAAGGCGACUAUCUGGGCCAACACUGACACUGAGGCACGAAAGCGUGGGGAGCAAACAGGAUUAGAUACCCCCGUAGUCCCUGUCUCUUAUAC